rnacentral:rRNA from 1 species
GAUGAACGCUGGCGGCGUGCCUAAUACAUGCAAGUCGAGCGAACAGACGAGGAGCUUGCUCCCUUGACGUUAGCGGCGGACGGGUGAGUAACACGUGGAUAACCUACCUAUAAGACUGGGAUAACUUCGGGAAACCGGAGCUAAUACCGGAUAACAUGUUGAACCGCAUGGUUCAACAGUGAAAGACGGUCUUGCUGUCACUUAUAGAUGGAUCCGCGCCGCAUUAGCUAGUUGGUAAGGUAACGGCUUACCAAGGCAACGAUGCGUAGCCGACCUGAGAGGGUGAUCGGCCACACUGGAACUGAGACACGGUCCAGACUCCUACGGGAGGCAGCAGUAGGGAAUCUUCCGCAAUGGGCGAAAGCCUGACGGAGCAACGCCGCGUGAGUGAAGAAGGUCUUCGGAUCGUAAAACUCUGUUAUUAGGGAAGAACAAAUGUGUAAGUAACUAUGCACGUCUUGACGGUACCUAAUCAGAAAGCCACGGCUAACUACGUG